GACGAACGCUGGCGGCGUGCCUAACACAUGCAAGUGGAGCGACGAACCAGGCUUCGGCCUGGGGGCAAAGCCGCGAACGGGUGAGUAACACGUGGGUAACCUGCCCUGAUGAUUGGGACAACCCGAGGAAACUCGGGCUAAUACCAAAUGUGCCCUUCGGCCAUAAGGCCGCCGGGGAAAGGAAGCUUCGGCCUCCGCAUCUGGAUGGGCCCGCGGCCCAUUAGCUUGUUGGUGAGGUAACGGCUCACCAAGGCGACGAUGGGUAGCUGGUCUGAGAGGACGAUCAGCCACACUGGGACUGAGACACGGCCCAGACUCCUACGGGAGGCAGCAGUGGGGAAUCUUGCGCAAUGCGCGGGAAGCGUGACGCAGCAACGCCGC
rnacentral:rRNA from 1 species